AUGCGGCGGUGGUUUUGCUGCGCACAUGUUGACACACCGUAUCAGGAAAACGGGGAUGAGUUUCCCAGCAGUCCUGAAAGGGCAAAUGGUAAUGGUUUUACUCAAAUUGGUGAUCAUGGAAAAGCACCUCCCUCCAUUGAAGUACCUGAAUUGUCAUUUGAUGAACUGAAAGAAAAGACGGAUGAUUUUGGGUCAAAAGCUUUGGUUGGUGAGGGUUCGUAUGGAAGAGUGUAUUAUGCUGUUCUAGAGAACGGGACACAUGUGGCUGUGAAAAAGCUUGAUACUUCAGCAGACCCUGAGCCUGACAAUGAAUUUAUAGCGCAGGUCUCCGUUAUUUCUAGAUUAAAACAUGAGCAUUUUGUUGACAUGCUUGGGUACUGUCUGGAAGGAGAUCAACGCUUACUGGCCUACGAAUUUGCUACUAUGGGUUCUCUACAUGAUAUUUUGCAUGGGAGAAAGGGUGUUGCUGGUGCACAGCCUGGCCCAGCACUUGACUGGAUGCAAAGGAUCAACAUUGCUGUUGAUGCUGCAAAAGGGCUUGAGUAUCUUCACGAGAAGGUCCAGCCUUCUGUAGUCCAUCGGGACAUACGGUCGAGCAAUGUACUUUUGUUUGAGGACUACAAAGCUAAAAUUGCAGAUUUCAACCUUUCAAAUCAAUCGCCAGAUAUGGCUGCUCGUCUACAUUCUACUCGUGUGCUUGGAACCUUUGGAUAUCAUGCUCCCGAGUAUGCCAUGACUGGCCAACUGACACAAAAAAGUGACGUGUAUAGCUUUGGGGUUGUUCUUUUGGAGCUCCUAACUGGAAGGAAACCAGUAGAUCACACGAUGCCAAGGGGACAGCAGAGUCUUGUUACCUGGGCAACACCAAGGCUUGGUGAGGACAAGGUAAAACAAUGUGUUGAUCCAAGAUUAAACGGAGAGUACCCUCCAAAAGGAGUUGCCAAGCUCGCGGCGGUGGCAGCGCUCUGUGUGCAAUACGAGUCUGAGUUUAGACCUAGCAUGAGCAUUGUAGUCAAAGCAUUGUCGCCCCUUAUUAUUAAUAAACCUCAGCAGCAACCGGGAGCUCCAGACACGCCUUCAGAUACUUGA
rnacentral:rRNA from 1 species